GAUGAACGCUGGCGGCGUGCCUAAUACAUGCAAGUCGAACGAGGUGCUUUUUGUAGCAAUACGAGGAGUAUCCUAGUGGCGAACGGGUGAGUAACGCGUGGGUGACCUACCCCAAAGUGUGGAAUAACAGUCCGAAAGGAUUGCUAAUGCCGCAUGUGGUCUGCGAGUUUAGAAAUCGUUGACUAAAGGAGCAAUUCGCUUUGGGAGGGACCUGCGUCCCAUCAGCUAGUUGGUGAGGUAACGGCUCACCAAGGCGACGACGGGUAGGGGACCUGAGAGGGUGGCCCCCCACAAUGGAACUGAAACACGGUCCAUACACCUACGGGUGGCAGCAGUAGGGAAUAUUGCACAAUGGGCGAAAGCCUGAUGCAGCAACGCCGCGUGCGCGAUGAAGGUCUUCGGAUCGUAAAGCGCUUUUCUGAGAGAUGAGAAAGGACAGUAUCUCAGGAAUAAGUCUCGGCUAACUACGUG
rnacentral:rRNA from 1 species